GACAGAGGGUGCAAACGUUGUUCGGAAUUACUGGGCGUAAAGGGUUCGUAGGUGGCUGGCUAAGCCAGACGUGAAAUCCCUCAGCUUAACUGGGGAACUGCGUCUGGGACUGGUCGGCUUGAGUGCAGGAGAGGAACGCGGAAUUCCAGGUGUAGCGGUGAAAUGCGUAGAUAUCUGGAGGAACACCGGUGGCGAAGGCGGCGUUCUGGACUGCAACUGACACUGAGGAACGAAAGCCAGGGGAGCAAACGGG
rnacentral:rRNA from 1 species